GUGAGGAAUAUUGGUCAAUGGGCGAGAGCCUGAACCAGCCAAGUCGCGUGAAGGAAGACGGCCCUACGGGUUGUAAACUUCUUUUGCAAUGGAAUAAAAAGAGUUACGUGUAAUUCAUUGUAUGUACAUUGCGAAUAAGGAUCGGCUAACUCCGUGCCAGCAGCCGCGGUAAUACGGAGGAUCCGAGCGUUAUCCGGAUUUAUUGGGUUUAAAGGGUGCGUAGGCGGAUUGGAAAGUCAGCGGUGAAAGUUUGCAGCUUAACUGUAAAAUUGCCAUUGAAACUGUCAGUCUUGAGUGCAAAUGAGGUAGGCGGAAUGUGUUGUGUAGCGGUGAAAUGCAGAGAUAUAACACAGAACACCAAUUGCGAAGGCAGCUUACUGGGAUGCAACUGACGCUGAGGAACGAAAGCGUGGGGAUCAAACAGGAUUAGAAACCCGGGUAGUCC
rnacentral:rRNA from 1 species